rnacentral:rRNA from 1 species
ACGAACGCUGGCGGCGUGCUUAAUACAUGCAAGUUGAGCGGAGCUAAUAGUGAGUUACUUAUUAUUAGUCGAGCAGCGGACGGGUGAGUAACGCGUGGGCAAUCUGCCCUCUAGUUUGGGAUAACAGUUCGAAAGGACUGCUAACACCGAAUAGUCUUAAAUUUGGGCAUCUAAAUUUAAGGAAAGUUAACGCUAGAGGAUGAGCCCGCGUCCCAUUAGCUAGUUGGUGAGGUAACGGCCCACCAAGGCAACGAUGGGUAGCCGACCUGAGAGGGUGACCGGCCACACUGGGACUGAGACACGGCCCAGACUCCUACGGGAGGCAGCAGUAGGGAAUUUUCCGCAAUGGACGAAAAAGUCUGACGGAGCAACGCCGCGUGAGGGAUGAAGGUUUUCGGAUCGUAAACCUCUGUCCUUGGGGAAGAUAAUGACGGUACCCAAGGAGGAAGCCACGGCUAACUACGUGCCAGCAGCAGC